rnacentral:rRNA from 1 species
UACGUAGGGUCCGAGCGUUGUCCGGAAUUAUUGAGCGUAAAGGGCUCGUAGGCGGUUUGUCGCGUCGGGGAGUGAAAACACGGGGCUUAACCCCGUGCCUGCUUCCGAUACGGGCAGACUAGAGGUAUGCAGGGGAGAACGGAAUUCCUGGUGUAGCGGUGAAAUGCGCAGAUAUCGGGAGGAACACCAGUAGCGAAGGCGGCUCGCUGGGCCACACCUGACGCUGAGACGCGAAAGCUAGGGAGGCGAACGAGG